UCUCCUGAUUUUGUCGGCGACAUGCGCCACC
rnacentral:sRNA from 1 species